GACGAACGCUGGCGGCGUGCCUAAUACAUGCAAGUAGAACGCACAGUUUAUACCGUAGCUUGCUACACCAUAGACUGUGAGUUGCGAACGGGUGAGUAACGCGUAGGUAACCUGCCUGGUAGCGGGGGAUAACUAUUGGAAACGAUAGCUAAUACCGCAUAAUAUUGAUUAUUGCAUGAUAAUUAAUUGAAAGGUGCAAUUGCACCACUACCAGAUGGACCUGCGUUGUAUUAGCUAGUAGGUGAGGUAACGGCUCACCUAGGCGACGAUACAUAGCCGACCUGAGAGGGUGAUAGGCCACACUGGGACUGAGACACGGCCCAGACUCCUACGGGAGGCAGCAGUAGGGAAUCUUCGGCAAUGGACGAAAGUCUGACCGAGCAACGCCGCGUGAGUGAAGAAGGUUUUCGGAUCGUAAAGCUCUGUUGUAAGAGAAGAACGGGUGUGAGAGUGGAAAGUUCACACUGUGACGGUAUCUGACCAGAAAGGGACGGCUAACUACGUG
rnacentral:rRNA from 1 species